GACAGAGGGUGCAAACGUUGUUCGGAAUUACUGGGCGUAAAGCGCGUGUAGGCGGCUUGGCAAGUCGGGUGUGAAAGCCCUGGGCUCAACCUAGGAAGUGCAUUCGAAACUGCUUAGCUGGAGUGCCGGAGAGGAAAGCGGAAUUCUCGGUGUAGAGGUGAAAUUCGUAGAUAUCGAGAGGAACACCGGUGGCGAAGGCGGCUUUCUGGACGGUUACUGACGCUGAGACGCGAAAGCGUGGGGAGCAAACAGGAUUAGAUACCCGCGUAGUCC
rnacentral:rRNA from 1 species